AUGACAACUAAAGCUCAGAGUCCUGCCCGGCGAAACGAACGGCAUGCACCAAGUGUCUGUUCGGAUUCAUCACACACACACACAGACAGAGAGAGAGAAAGAGAGAGGGAGAGAGAGAGAGAGAGAGAGAGGCAGCGGGUCCUUCAUGAAAAUAAAAGAAGAGGGAAGAAGAGUGACACAAGAUCGUCGGAGUGGUGCAUUAAAAUUGAUCUGCAAGUCAGCGGCUGCCAUGAUAGCUGGAAUAAACUUCUCUUUGAAAGGCUCUUUCUCUCUCUCUCUCUCGUCACUUCACUUGUCCUCAGCCAUUCUCUGCUUCCCUCAGAACCAAGACAACUACCCUCUCUGUCCUCAUCAAUUCUUCACCGCUAUUUUGAUGUUUAUUUCCAUAAUUUGCAUAACCUCUCUCUCAUCUGUUCUUUUUUUCACCCCUCUUUAGUUCGCACAGAGCUGCCAUUCCUCUUUCCUUAACUUUAAAACGCUACUUUAAAAUGAAUGCAAAGGAAAUAUAUAAAUAUCUAAAGUUGGCAUGAUGUUGUUGUACAUUAUUCCCUUUGAAAAGUGAUUUUGUUCUCACUUUAAGGGCACUCAGAGAGAUCAGAACAGGCUAACACACACAAUCAUCUCUGUCUUCUCAGGCCUCACCAUCGCUCCUGUCUGUCUGUCUGUCUGUCUGUCUGUCUGUCUGUCUGUCUGUCUGUCUGUCUGUCUGUCUACACAUGCGGAACACCAACCUUCUGGGAAUGAGAGGAAUGACGUUCCCUUCUCUGUGUUUCUCUAACAUGUUUCUCUGACAUGUUUCUCUGACAUGUUUCUCUAACAUGUUUCUCUGACAUGUUUCUCUAACAUGUUUUUUCUCUGACAUGUUUCUCUAACAUGUUUCUCUAACAUGUUUCUCUGACAUGUUUCUCUGACAUGUUUCUCUAACGUGUUUCUCUGACAUGUUUCUCUGACAUGUUUCUCUGACAUGUUUCUCUAACAUGUUUCUCUGACAUGUUUCUCUAACAUGUUUCUCUAACGUGUUUCUCUGACAUGUUUCUCUGACAUGUUUCUCUAACAUGUUUCCAUGUCACUGUGGCGCCACCGUUAUAUCUUGUAUUCAGGUGGUUCAGUCCUGCUCUCAUCCACACUACUCACUAAUCAAGAGAAGCUGUUGAAAGGAACGUUGAACGACACCAAUACAAAUGAAACUGUUAUUGAAAGGGGAUGUUUCCCCGUGUGGAAACAAGCUGAACAGGUAAAGCCACGGGGACAACUAAAAGCUUUUAUUUAGUUCGGUGAUAAAGCCCUCAUAUAAAAAAUAAUAUAGGUUCUGACUCAGAAAGCACGUAAGACAAAUGUGCCUUGAACUGUACGUUUCUCAAACUAUCUGAUCACUGAGAGUUUGAAAGGUACCGAUGCCCCUCAGUAAAAACACGCUGAAUAAACCAUUUCUAAGCCUGUACAUGUCUUACUCCAGUUCUGAAGGGUUGGCAACACGGAUGGGUUUUUCUCUUAGUCGUUUCAUUCCUUUUUCUCUACUUCAAAACUCACACGUCUCUCCCAUUGUCCGUUUGACAGAGGAGAAGAGAGACGGAGAGAAUCCAGAAGAGAGAGAGAAAGAGUGCUGGCAAAUGCCGCACAAAAAAAAAAUAUUAAAAAUGUAUCCCGUUCCAUUUCAAUUCGAGGUACGCAUCACUCUCCAUAAGCAGGGGCUGUCUCUUUAAAUCAGAGGAACUGUCACUUCCCCAGCUGUCUGUUUACAAAAUAGGAGGCUGAAAAUUAGACCUGGUCCCCGUGGACAACCUUGUAUAAAUC
rnacentral:lncRNA from 1 species